rnacentral:rRNA from 1 species
AUUGAACGCUGGCGGCAUGCCUUACACAUGCAAGUCGAACGGCAGCGGGGGAGAAGCUUGCUUUUCCUGCCGGCGAGUGGCGAACGGGUGAGUAAUACGUCGGAACGUGCCCUGUAGUGGGGGAUAACUAGUCGAAAGAUUAGCUAAUACCGCAUACGACCUGAGGGUGAAAGGGGGGGACCGCAAGGCCUCAUGCUAUAGGAGCGGCCGAUGUCUGAUUAGCUAGUUGGUGGGGUAAAGGCCUACCAAGGCGACGAUCAGUAGCUGGUCUGAGAGGACGAUCAGCCACACUGGGACUGAGACACGGCCCAGACUCCUACGGGAGGCAGCAGUGGGGAAUUUUGGACAAUGGGCGAAAGCCUGAUCCAGCAAUGCCGCGUGUGUGAAGAAGGCCUUCGGGUUGUAAAGCACUUUUGUCCGGAAAGAAAUGGCUCUGGUUAAUACCUGGGGUCGAUGACGGUACCGGAAGAAUAAGGACCGGCUAACUACGUGCCAGCCGCCGCCGUAA